rnacentral:lncRNA from 1 species
GAACACCACUAUCUUGGUGACCGUCAAAGGUAAGUGGGUGCUAGCUGAGGGGUGGUGGCGGCGCUUGCCUUUAAUCCCAGCACUCAGGAGGCAGAGGUGGGCAGAGCCAGGCAUCUCUCAGUUCAAAGGCAGCCUGGUCCACAGAGCAAGUUCUAGGAUAGGCAGGGCUACCCAGAGAAACCUUGUCUCAAAAAAAAAAAAUCCAAAACCCAAGAACAAAAAAAAGUUUUAAGUGGCUACUUGCAAAAGCUGGGACUUCCAGUGGCCAAAGUAGGUCUUGGUUUGUAGGUUUGCUCUGGGCAUGUGGGUGGUUUGUUUGUUUGGCACCCCCGCCCCCCUUUUACCUUAAUCACUCUGACUUAAGCAAGGUGCACCAACCGGGAAACAAAUCACUUCAGUUUAUUGCUGAAAUUAGACAUCAAAAGAUCCCAUUAGCCUUAUGACUGAGUUGAUGAGAGACUAAUAACUCGUUAAUAACCCUGCUAAAAUGGCACUUUGCCAGAGCAAUGAAGGAUACUUGCCAGCCAGCCUUGGGCACGAACCCGUUCUACAGAUGGAGAAACUGUGAGAUCCUGGAGGCUACAACAGGGUUGCUGCAAGCAACUUCUGUGUCCCUCUUGCCCAGGUGGCCGGCUCCACGAGCCUCUGAAGCCUUGGCUCCUGGAAGUGCUGGGCUUUGGGGUACUGUGCGUCAUAGCCUUCCGAUCCUUGUCCCUAGGUCUUCCUGGCCAUCUCAUGAUGCAAAACGCUUUCAGUAUGACUUU